rnacentral:rRNA from 1 species
UACAGAGGUCUCAAGCGUUGUUCGGAUUCAUUGGGCGUAAAGGGUGCGUAGGCGGCGCGGUAAGUCGGGUGUGAAAUCUUGGAGCUUAACUCCGAAACUGCAUUCGAUACUGCCGUGCUUGAGGACUGGAGAGGAGACUGGAAUUUACGGUGUAGCGGUGAAAUGCGUAGAUAUCGUAAGGAAGACCAGUGGCGAAGGCGGGUCUCGUGGACAGUUCCUGACGCUCAGGCGCGACAGCGUGGGGAUCAAACAGG